ACGUCUUGCUUUCCUAAGGGCGGCCAAAAGUUUAGGAUUUUUUAAGUCUCAACGAUCUAUUCCUAAGCUCUAAUAAUAACUUAAUGGGUUAAUUACACCAUUGGUCCCCAACAUUUGCUCUAUUUAUGAAUUUGGUCCCCAAUCUUUUUUUUACAAUCAAGUCCCUAAUAUCUUGAUUUCAUUACAAUUAAGUCCCAACAGUCAGAAAGAUGUUAAAAUUAACGAAAAAUGCCAUGUCAGCGCUACGGAGGUGCUGUGUCAGCGCCAGCUAAUUAUAUAAAUUUAAAUUUUAUAUUAUAAAUUUAAAUUUUUAAAUUUAAAUUGUAUUUUGAAUUAAAUUAUAAAUUCAAAGCAAGAUUUUUAAUUUAAAGAUUUAAAUUUUAAAUUU
rnacentral:lncRNA from 1 species